CCUACGGGUGGCAGCAGUGAGGAAUAUUGGUCAAUGGGCGCGAGCCUGAACCAGCCAAGUCGCGUGAAGGAUGACUGCUCUACGGGUUGUAAACUUCUUUUAUAAAGGAAUAAAGUGAGCCACGUGUGGCUAUUUGCAUGUACUUUAUGAAUAAGGAUCGGCUAACUCCGUGCCAGCAGCCGCGGUAAUACGGAGGAUGCGAGCGUUAUCCGGAUUUAUUGGGUUUAAAGGGUGCGUAGGUGGGUUGUUAAGUCAGUGGUGAAAGUUUGCGGCUCAACCAUAAAAUUGCAGUUGAUACUGGAAGACUUGAGUGUGUUUGAGGUAGGCGGAAUGCGUGGUGUAGCGGUGAAAUGCAUAGAUAUCACGAAGAACUCCGAUUGCGAAGGCAGCUUACUAAGCCACCACUGACACUGAUGCACGAAAGUGUGGGGAUCAAACAGGAUUAGAUACCCUAGUAGUC
rnacentral:rRNA from 1 species